rnacentral:rRNA from 1 species
GACGAACGCUGGCGGCGUGCCUAACACAUGCAAGUCGAACGGAGAUAUGAUUUCGGUUGUAUCUUAGUGGCGAACGGGUGAGUAACGCGUGAGCAACCUGACUCUUAGAGGGGGAUAACACUCGGAAACGGGUGCUAAUACCGCAUAAGACCACGACAUGGCAUCAUGACGAGGUCAAAGGAGCAAUCCGCUGAGAGAGGGGCUCGCGUCCCAUUAGAUAGAUGGCGGGGUAACGGCCCACCAUGCCAACGAUGGGUAGCCGAGCUGAGAGGCUGAUCGGACACAAUGGAACUGAGACACGGUCCAGACGCAUACGGGAGGCAGCAGGGGGGAAUAAUGGGAAAUGGCCGCAAGCGUGACCCAGCAACGCGGCGUGAGGGAAGAAGGCUUUCGGGUUGUAAACCUCUGUCCUUGGUGACGAAAAAAAUGACGGUAGCCAAGGAGGAAGCCCCGGCUAACUACGUGCCAGCAGCCGCCGUAACAC